rnacentral:rRNA from 1 species
UACGUAGGGUGCAAGCGUUAUCCGGAAUUAUUGGGCGUAAAGAGCUCGUAGGCGGUUUGUCGCGUCUGCUGUGAAAACUGGAGGCUCAACCUCCAGCCUGCAGUGGGUACGGGCAGACUAGAGUGCGGUAGGGGAGAUUGGAAUUCCUGGUGUAGCGGUGGAAUGCGCAGAUAUCAGGAGGAACACCAAUGGCGAAGGCAGAUCUCUGGGCCGUAACUGACGCUGAGGAGCGAAAGCGUGGGGAGCAAACAGG